GGAAGAGAUAUGCAGGUACAUGAGGCUUCCUCAACCAUGCUAAGGCACAACAGAGAAGCUACUGUCAUCUGCAAGGAUGAGCAAGAAGUAUGAGGGGAAAAGACAUGCAAAAGAGAUUAUCCAAUAGAAUUCAAAGUACCGUUUCUGUUAGUCUAAGGAAACAGUAAUUCUAAAUGUAAAGUUUUGCCUUCCAUUAGAUUUAAAGUUGCAUCAGAAGAUGUAAAGCUCAUUAGAGAUUGCAUCUUAAUACUCUGUCCUUCAAUGCACAUUGCUUGUUAUAUUUAAGGCACUGCAUGUCGUCUUUGGUUCAGUGUUUAACUAUCUCAUUCAGUGUACAGAGAGGUAGCAUGAACCACACAUCUUUAGUUCUUCCAUUCUAUUACACAGUUUCAGUCACCACCUUCCUGAUGUUAUGGAUUCUGGAAUCCUUUAACUCAUUAGGAAACUGUAUGGAUAUCCAUGGUAUUUUGAUCUGAAGACAGAUAGUAGCCAACUGAAAAAGAACACCACCAAGCCAAUACCAGCAAUGCACAUGAUCUUUCUCUUCCCCACAUCCAUGUCAGAAGUAGCAGCUUCAUGGAGGAGUACCAUUCCUAAAGUAACACCACCAUUGAACAGAAGAACAAUGUGUGUUUCUGCAACAAACUGGGCUUGGCUGCUUCCAUGGAUAUAGUUCACUUGUCCUGUGUGGGGGUUCUUAUGAGCAUAGGGUGGCCCUCUAAUAUGGUUCCACAUCUGACCUGAUGUCAUUGCUAAUACAAAACACAAAGCAGCAAAUGCCCAGCCAGUUUUGUUAUACAGAAAAUCCAGAUUGCUCCCACGCAAAUACACAAGGCCGCCAAUGACAGCCAGCAGCAGUCCUAACAUCAGUGGUCCAGCAUAGUUUGGUGGCCUUAUCACACGUAUAUUGACAUCGGUUCUGUCGGCCACCCAACGAGCAAGCUGCUCAGCUGCAAAGCCGCGCACCUGGAGUUCAUACGUGUCACCUCGUUUAGGCUUCCCUUUAGCAGGAAAAUUAAUGAAGGUGGGAGCAGAAUUCAUGUUUAGCAUCUGAAACACAUCCGAGCCUUCAUCAAAAUCUACCAUAGCAAAAAAAAUCUUAUUGGUAAAUGCACUGGAAUAUCGCCAGGAGUUUGCCAGAAUCUGGUAUUCUUCAUCAGCUUGCUUGCACACAACACAUUGUCUGUGAGGCUGCAGAGCAGUGAACAUCACAAUCACCGAGUAGUUCCUGGGUGGUGCCUUCACAAGGCGGCGGAACUUAUCUCCGUUCAUUCGUAUCACAGAUCUCUUACUCGUCCACUCCAUCAGCUGGCUCACUUUUUCUGAUAACACCAUCUCCUUCCGCUUCUGCCCCGCAGCGCGCGGCCCACCACAGGCCAGCAGCAGCACCAGCACAAGUACCGGCAGCGCCGCCAUGACUGCCCUUUACCGCCACCUCGCACCUAUUGGCCCACACCGACCCACAGAGUUCCGACACCACCCAGGUGCU
rnacentral:lncRNA from 1 species